rnacentral:rRNA from 1 species
AUUGAACGCUGGCGGCAUGCUUUACACAUGCAAGUCGAACGGUAACAGGUUAAGCUGACGAGUGGCGAACGGGUGAGUAAUGCAUCGGAACGUGCCCGGUCGUGGGGGAUAACGCAGCGAAAGCUGCGCUAAUACCGCAUACGAUCUGAGGAUGAAAGCGGGGGACCGUAAGGCCUCGCGCGAUCGGAGCGGCCGAUGUCAGAUUAGGUAGUUGGUGGGGUAAAGGCUCACCAAGCCAACGAUCUGUAGCUGGUCUGAGAGGACGACCAGCCACACGGGGACUGAGACACGGCCCAGAGUCCUACGGGAGGCAGCAGUGGGGAAUUUUGGACAAUGGGCGAAAGCCUGAUCCAGCAAUGCCGCGUGCAGGAAGAAGGCCUUCGGGUUGUAAACUGCUUUUGUACGGAGCGAAAAGGUCUCCUCUAAUACAGGGGGCUCAUGACGGUACCGUAAGAAUAAGCACCGGCUAACUACGUGCCAGCAGCCGCCGUAA